AAGGAAAGAGGGAGGCAUGCCUAACACAUGCAAGUCGAACGACACCUCCGGGUCUACUUGCGCAUACGUGCGUCACGCGUCGGAACCUUCCCUUAUGCUCCGAAUAACUCUCCGUCGGGGGUGCUAAUACCGGAUAAUGUCUUCUGACCAAAGAUUUAUCGCCCUUGGAUGAGCCCGCGUUGGAUUAGCUUUUUGGUAGGGUAAAAGCCUACCACGGCGACGAUACAUAGCUGGUCAGAGAGACUGAUCAGCCACACUGAGAGUGGGACACGGCCCAGACUCCUACGGGAGGGAGGAGAGGGGAAUAUUGGAAAAUGGGGGAAAGGAUGAAGGAGCUAGGCCGGGUGAGUGAUGAAGGCCGGAGAGUAGUAAAGCAGUUUUACCCGGGAUGAUAAUGACGGUACCGGGAGAAUAAGCACCGGCUAACUCCGUG
rnacentral:rRNA from 1 species